rnacentral:tRNA from 1 species
CAGGGGGUAGUUUAAGUAAAAUAUUAAAUUUGGGUUUUAAGGAUGGAUUUAAUUUCUUCCCCUGA